AGUGAACGCUGGCGGUAGGCCUAACACAUGCAAGUCGAACGGCAGCACAGUAAGAGCUUGCUCUUACGGGUGGCGAGUGGCGGACGGGUGAGGAAUACAUCGUAAUCUACUUUUUCGUGGGGGAUAACGUAGGGAAACUUACGCUAAUACCGCAUACGACCUACGGGUGAAAGCAGGGGAUCUUCGGACCUUGCGCGACUGAAUGAGCCGAUGUCGGAUUAGCUAGUUGGCGGGGUAAAGGCCCCCCAAGGCGACGAUCCGUAGCUGGUCUGAGAGGAUGAUCAGCCACACUGGAGCUGAGACACGGUCGAGACUCCUACGGGAGGCAGCAGUGGGGAAUAUUGGACCAUGGGCGCAAGCCUGAUCCAGCCAUACCGCGUGGGUGAAGAAGGCCUUCGGGUUGUAAAGCCCUUUUGUUGGGAAAGAAAAGCAGCAGGUUAAUACCCCGCUGUUCUGACGGUACCCAAAGAAUAAGCACCGGCUAACUUCGUG
rnacentral:rRNA from 1 species